GUGUAUAAAUGAUUUCUCAUUUUAUGUGAUAUAAUUUUUCAAAUCAUUUAAACGUUAGCACAAAAUCCAAGACAAAAAGAAAAUUAUUAAGAAACAAAUGUACAUCAAAUAGUAUAUACAUUCGGGUGUUGGUGUUACAUUUUAGUGUAACUCUAUCAUUUCUGUAUUUAUAAAGAUCAAGUGAUCAAUUAAGUGAUCUAAUAGACAAACACAUAUCAACAUACUUAAGAGGCAUUUAGUAACAACUUUAGAUUUGAAACAUUUAUCUUUGAAAUUUAAAAUGCUUGUUGAUUUCCUAUAAAUGUAUCAUUAGGUUUUCUAAAUUAUAUAAAGUGAUAAAAAAAUUGUUUUUUGGAGGCAAAAGAAGGGGAAAAAAUGACUAAAAUUCUCAAAUUUGUGUAUGUUAUGAUCUUCUUAAUUUUCCUAUUUCAUGUUGUAACUGAUGCGAGUGGUGGUAAUUGUACUUCUCUUCUUGAUUGUGUACAUACUCAAUGUACAAUAUAUGCAAUGCCAAUUUGCUUGGAGGAUAAAUGUAUGUGUGUUUAAUUGGAUUGGACAAGAAGAACCACUCAAGACAUAUGCUUUAGUCAUCCAUGGCAAUUUAUCAUAUAUAUUUUCCAAUGCAAAACAAAAUAAUAUCGUUUGAACACAAAUGUGAUGAGAUAGAUUGUCCUUUGUCUCUUGGUCAAUUUUCCAUGGAGUAGUAGUUAUGUGAUAUGGAUUCUUGUGUGAUUCCUGUUUUGAUUUUUGUUACAUUGGUAUUUGAAUGUGUUGGGCUAUUUUUUAUUUUGAAGGUGUGAUUAUCUUUUAUAUUUUUGCAUUUUGG